AUUGAACGCUGGCGGCAGGCCUAACACAUGCAAGUCGAGCGGAUGAAGGGAGCUUGCUCCUCGAUUCAGCUGCGGACGGGUGAGUAAUGCAUAGGAAGCUGCCUGGUAGUUGGGGAUAACGUCCGGAAACGGGCGCUAAUACCACAUACGUCCAGAGGGUGAACGGGGGGGAUCUUCGGACAUCACGCUAUCAGAUGAGCCUAGGUCGGAUUAGCGAGUUGGUGGGGUAAGGGCCUACCAAGGCGACGAUCCGUAACCGGUCUGAGAGGGUGAUCAGUCACACUGGAACUGAGACACGGUCCAGACUCCUACGGGAGGCAGCAGUGGGGAAUAUUCGGCAAUGGGCGAAAGCCUGACGCAGCCACGCCGCGUGUGUGAAGAAGGUCUUCGGAUUGUAAAGCUCUUUUAUUUGGGAAGAACGGCUGUGAAUUUAACCCUUCCCGUUUUGACGUUACCUAAUGAAAAAGCCACGGCUAACUUCGUG
rnacentral:rRNA from 1 species